CCGUGUCGUCGCGCUUGAUGUCCUCGAGGAGGAUGUAACCAGAUCUGCCAGAUCCGUCUAUUGCGAUCAAUGCCAAGUCGUUGGUGAGUCGACUUACCCUUCUCCGAUCGGUCGGAGACCGCGUAAAUAGUCGCCUUAAGUACUAUCGACCUCCUUUUUAUCAACAACGAACAUGAGAACACAGGAUUUAUUUAUUUAUUUAUUUAUAAUCCGAAUUCGGCGAAGAUGAAGCACGGAGCUGAAUAAGCUGCUCUAGCUGCUAUAAUGUGGUUUUAUAAUUAAUUUACUGUUAAAUUUAAAAUUUGGGGAAAUGCUAACCUGUGUCGUGUUUGUUUGGAAAAAAGGGUGGAGCGGGCAUCCAGUGUGCAGAAAGCGGUACCAUUUUAUUAUAAGGUCAGACAGCGGUGAGGGCGUAGAUAGGCUGCGGAAAUCUUGUUCACAAUGUGGAAGCAUUCUUCUUUUAUCCGACCUUAGGUGAGUAGAGAUCAUUCUCAGGAAAAUUAUAGUCUCAAGAAUUCUAUCUCUCCGUAAUAAUUUUCUAACCUUUCAUAAUUAUUUUGAUUUCAAAGUUGCACCUUGUGCAACUCUGAGAUUGGUGCUGAUGUGUUGGAGGACUGGGUGUAUUCGCAAUUUGAAGACAAUACUCAUCUCCUGCAUGCUGUUGUUCACUCCAAUGGCUUCGGCCAUCUUUUGACCGUCAAUGGCAG
rnacentral:lncRNA from 1 species